AUUCGUUUCGAGAGGAAAAUUCUUAUUUCUUCAACUUCGAUUCAAACACGUUUUCUAACGGAAUUAAAGCUGAAUCCAAUUCCUGAAUUUUUAUAUCUAAUCCAAUUUCUCAAUCGAUUUUUCCUCCUUUCAAUCACCAUCGUUCGCAAGAA